UAAGGUGUACUGGAUUAAGGGGUGCUGGAUUAAGGUGUGCUGGUUUAAGGUGUACUGGAUUAAGGGGUGCUAGUUUAAGGUGUGCUGGUUUAAGGUGUGCUGGAUUAAGGUGUGCUGGAUUAAGGUGUGCUGGAUUAAGGUGUGCUGGAUUAAGGUGUGCUGGUUUAAGGUGUGCUGGAUUAAGGUGUGCUGGUUUAAGGUGUGCUGGUUUAAGGUGUGCUGGUUUAAGGUGUACUGGAUUAAGGUGUACUGGAUUAAGGUGUACUGGAUUAAGGUGGACCGGUUUAAGGUGUGCUGGUUUAAGGUGUACUGGUUUAAGGUGUGCUGGUUUAAGGUGUGCUGGUUUAAGGUGUGCUGGUUUAAGGGGUGCUAGUUUAAAGUGUGCUGGAUUAAGGUGUGCUGGUUUAAGGUGUACUGGAUUAAGGGGUGCUAGUUUAAGGUGUGCUGGAUUAAGGUGUGCUGGAUUAAGGUGUGCUGGAUUAAGGUGUGCUGGAUUAAGGUGUGCUGGUUUAAGGUGUGCUGGUUUAAGGUGUACAGGUUUAAAUUGUGCUGGUUUAAGGCGUGCUGGUUUAAGGCGUACAGGUUUAAGGCGUACAGGUUUAAGGCGUACAG